rnacentral:lncRNA from 1 species
UUAUGUUAAGUUUUGUAUAUGACUGCAGUUGAAUAUUUUGCGUAACGAGACUCUUGCUUUCUCGUCACCUUUUUUUUCUUUUCCGUAAAGCGCGCGGGGGCAUAGAAAGGUACGACCACAUGUGUAGAACCUUUCCAUUUGUGUUUGUAUAGCUCAUAGACGCAAUCCCUUGUAUUAAUACGGCUAUUUUCACUCACUGGAAGUUUUAUCCACUUUUGGAUGCAUUUUUUGACACUGUACUAAAGGGUUGUCGCAUCGUUCUUCCCCCUGUCCCGCUCUGGAUGUUGAUGCGCCCCUCUCUCCCAGAUCCGACAAAUAACGUUUCAAACUGGAGUCAAAACGAGUGGCAUUGCAGACUCCUAGCUUUUUCCCAGUUCAGUGCAAAGAAUUUCCGCUGUUCCCGCCGGUUAUCCCCGAUGCGGCUGCAGCAGGCUUUUGGAUGGCCACAUGCAAUAAGGAACCCACAAAAGGGGCCAGCCCCCCAGUUUUCGUCGUGUGCACACUUCAUCCAUUUGAUUCGAAAGGUAAUUGUGUACCUCAGGUCUGGAGGAUCCGCAAGCUCCUGCGUGUCGCGGUGGACUUCUUCUCUUAAGACCACGCCGAUGUCGUCCAGAGUAAAAGCGAAAAAAGCUAUUAAAAAUGAAGUCGAAUACAAGGCGGCCGAACGUCGGACGGCCGAGAUUGCAGCGGAAGCAGAGGCCCUGUGCAAGGGUAGAACAGCUUUAACUGUAGGAAGUGCCGAAUGACGCUAGUACUAUAGAGGCAAUGUCGAUGCACGGGCUGGUCCGUGGUCCUCGGUUUGGCGUGUUCCGCAGCGUCACAAUCACCGUCCCCUUUGAGGAUUUCAUUUGACCAUCCAGGCCGAGCUAAAUGUGUGUUCCACCGCAGCGGGGUUUGUUGGGCUCCAGCAGGGGAGUAAGAUAAGUGACGAUUUCUGCACUGCAGGUGCCACUCUCAUUUACAUCUCCGACGUGUAAGUGCUCCUUCGGACCGUUGUAAUCCGAUAGUUUCACUUGAUUCCAGGAUACUUUGUUGACGUUUUCUUGAUUCACGUCAACAAAAUGCCUUCUAAUGUCUUCACCACUUGAACACGAAAAAGGCAUUAACUACAUUUUAAGGACUCCAUUUUCUCUUCUAAUGAGUUUUUACAGGAGCAGAUCGAACGCCGGAAAGAAAUGUUAAUCGAGAUAGAUCAGGACGAACAGCAGCUUGCCACUGAACGUACAGCUUGCAAAGCUUUCCAGGAAAACUGUAGACGGCGUUGGGAUAUCAUGAGUGAGACCGCCGCAAAUGAAGAGGCCUGGAGCAACUUCUCUACAUGCCAAUGCUAUCCGGAAGCAGACCGCGAAGCCGUGCUCACGACCUUCCUCUCUCACUGGCGAGCUCACGAUGAAAGCACGAUGACUGAUAUUCUCUCCUCUUGUGCGUUAGCAGGCGAGUCACACCGCAGGCGCGCACGUAAUGAAGUUUCGCAAUAAGAACUUUCGUUCACGUCCAAGCUUUACAACGAUCAACCUCCAUCAUCCAUGGAAACAGUUAUUGGAUAUAUUUCGAUGAAUGUCGUCAAAAUAGUUUUCCCUCGUUGUGCCUGCGUUAUUAACUAUGCUGGACUCAAAGGCUGUCUGCAAGGUGGUCACAUCAUCGUCGUGCUACUUGGCGGUCCUCGUAUCAGCCCUUCCGCUCAUAUUUCAGACCAGCAGUGAAAUGUCAUGAAGCAUUACCUACAUGAGUACGUCGACAUGCGUAAACGGUACCUGCGGACGCUAAUGCAGCAGAAUGAUCCUCUGAUGUUGACGUGUUUCCAACUUCCUAUUGCUUCUAGAUCUGGUGAUGUCGAAUGCGUUUUGGACAGUUCAGGCCGCAUGCGUUUACAAGUUAAGGACUUGGAGUCUGUUGUUCUACGUUUCUUCUGUAUCAACGUAUUCUGAUCUUCAUUGCCACCCCUAAGACGCCUUUUAGAGGCGCCUUUUGCUUAGUUUUCAGAACAGAACGGAGAAGGCACGUGGGACGAAUCUUUUCUGCGCUGGUGCGUGAUCUCAGAGAAAAUUGCUGACCGUUUAGUGGUCAUGUGGUACAAGGCGACAAGUACGGAUGACAAGAACAGGAGGACGUUUUGUCGGGAGUAAGCCGACAAAUAGCCCGUCUAUGUUGCAGGGGCCUGCACAGGAAAAUUUCAUGGUAACAGGGCACACGCC